rnacentral:piRNA from 1 species
UGUUGGAGCCCUCAGACUGAAAGG